rnacentral:rRNA from 1 species
AUUGAACGCCGGCGGCAUGCUUUACACAUGCAAGUCGAACGGUAACAGGCCGCAAGGUGCUGACGAGUGGCGAACGGGUGAGUAAUGCAUCGGAACGUGCCCAGUCGUGGGGGAUAACUACUCGAAGGAGUAGCUAAUACCGCAUACGAUCUAUGGAUGAAAGCGGGGGACCGUAAGGCCUCGCGCGAUUGGAGCGGCCGAUGUCAGAUUAGGUAGUUGGUGGGGUAAAGGCUCACCAAGCCAACGAUCUGUAGCUGGUCUGAGAGGACGACCAGCCACACUGGGACUGAGACACGGCCCAGACUCCUACGGGAGGCAGCAGUGGGGAAUUUUGGACAAUGGGCGCAAGCCUGAUCCAGCAAUGCCGCGUGCAGGAAGAAGGCCUUCGGGUUGUAAACUGCUUUUGUACGGAACGAAACGGCUCUGGUUAAUACCCGGGGCUAAUGACGGUACCGUAAGAAUAAGCACCGGCUAACUACGUG